rnacentral:rRNA from 1 species
UGGGGAAUUUUGGACAAUGGGGGAAACCCUGAUCCAGCCAUCCCGCGUGUGCGAUGAAGGCCUUCGGGUUGUAAAGCACUUUUGGCAGGAAAGAAACGUCGCGGGUUAAUACCCCGCGAAACUGACGGUACCUGCAGAAUAAGCACCGGCUAACUACGUGCCAGCAGCCGCGGUAAUACGUAGGGUGCAAGCGUUAAUCGGAAUUACUGGGCGUAAAGCGUGCGCAGGCGGUUCGGAAAGAAAGAUGUGAAAUCCCAGAGCUUAACUUUGGAACUGCAUUUUUAACUACCGGGCUAGAGUGUGUCAGAGGGAGGUGAAAUUCCGCGUGUAGCAGUGAAAUGCGUAGAUAUGCGGAGGAACACCGAUGGCGAAGGCAGCCUCCUGGGAUAACACUGACGCUCAUGCACGAAAGCGUGGGGAGCAAACAGGAUUAGAUACCCUGGUAGUCCACGCCCUAAACGAUGUCAACUAGCUGUUGGGGCCUUCGGGCCUUGGUAGCGCAGCUAACGCGUGAAGUUGACCGCCUGGGGAGUACGGUCGCAAGAUUAAAACUCAAAUGAAUUGAC